CAGCAGCCGCGGUAAUACAGAGGUGGCGAGCGUUGUUCGGAUUUACUGGGCGUAAAGGGCGCGUAGGCGGUACAGUAUGUCGGGUGUGAAAUCUCCAGGCUCAACCUGGAAAGUGCGCCCGAAACUGCUGAACUAGAGUACGGGAGGGGAGAUCGGAAUACAAGGUGUAGCGGUGAAAUGCGUUGAUAUCUUGUAGAACACCGGUGGCGAAGGCGGAUCUCUGGAACGUAACUGACGCUGAGGCGCGAAAGUCGGGGGAGCAAACAGGAUUAGAUACCCUGGUAGUCCCGACCGUAAACGGUGCACACUUGGGGUUGGGGGAUUUCACCCCUCCAGUCCCGGAGCUAACGCGUUAAGUGUGCCGCCUGGGGAGUACGGCCGCAAGGUUAAAACUCAAAGAAAUUGACGGGGGCCCGCACAAGCAGAGGAGCAUGUGGCUUAAUUCGAUGCAACGCGAAGAACCUUACCCGGGUUUGACAUAUAACUGCAACUCCCUGGAAACAGGGAUUCCUUCGAGGGUGUUAUACAGGUGCUGCAUGGCUGUCGUCAGUUCGUGCCGUGAGGUGUUUGGUUAAGUCCAGCAACGAACGCAACCCCUAUGUUUAGUUGCCAACGGGGUAAUGCCGGGAACUCUAGACAGACUGCCCGUUCACACGGGAAGAAGGUGGGGACCACGUCAAGUCAGUAUGGCCCUUACAUCCGGGGCUGCACACGUGCUACAAUGGCAGGUACAAUAGGAAGCAAUACCGCAAGGUGGAGCCAAUCCCCAAAACCUGCCCCAGUUCGGAUUGUGGUCUGCAACCCGACCACAUGAAGUUGGAUUUGCUAGUAACGGCGUAUCAGCUACGACGCCGUGAAUACGUUCCCGGGCCUUGUACACACCGCCCGUCACAUCAUGAAAGCCGUCUGCACCCGAAUCCGGUGCACCAACCAGCAUUGGAGGGAACCGUCUAAGGUUGGGUUGGUAAUUGGGAUGAAGUCGUAACAAGGUAUCCGUA
rnacentral:rRNA from 1 species